GAUUAUGGCUCAAGACGAACGCUGGCGGCGUGCUUAACACAUGCAAGUCGAGCGAUGAAGCUCCUUCGGGAGUGGAUUAGCGGCGGACGGGUGAGUAACACGUGGGUAACCUGCCUCAUAGAGGGGAAUAGCCUUUCGAAAGGAAGAUUAAUACCGCAUAAGAUUGUAGUACCGCAUGGUACAGCAAUUAAAGGAGUAAUCCGCUAUGAGAUGGACCCGCGUCGCAUUAGCUAGUUGGUGAGGUAACGGCUCACCAAGGCGACGAUGCGUAGCCGACCUGAGAGGGUGAUCGGCCACAUUGGGACUGAGACACGGCCCAGACUCCUACGGGAGGCAGCAGUGGGGAAUAUUGCACAAUGGGGGAAACCCUGAUGCAGCAACGCCGCGUGAGUGAUGACGGCCUUCGGGUUGUAAAACUCUGUCUUUGGGGACGAUAAUGACGGUACCCAAGGAGGAAGCCACGGCUAACUACGUGCCAGCCGCAGC
rnacentral:rRNA from 1 species